rnacentral:rRNA from 14 species
CGAGAGCAUGUCUGUCUCAGCGUC